rnacentral:rRNA from 1 species
GUGGGGAAUAUUGGACAAUGGGCGAAAGCCUGAUCCAGCCAUGCCGCGUGUGUGAAGAAGGUCUUCGGAUUGUAAAGCACUUUAAGUUGGGAGGAAGGGCAGUAAGUUAAUACCUUGCUGUUUUGACGUUACCGACAGAAUAAGCACCGGCUAACUUCGUGCCAGCAGCCGCGGUAAUACGAAGGGUGCAAGCGUUAAUCGGAAUUACUGGGCGUAAAGCGCGCGUAGGUGGUUUUGUAAGUUGGAGGUGAAAUCCCCGGGCUCAACCUGGGAACUGCCUCCAAAACUGCAUGACUAGAGUACGGUAGAGGGUAGUGGAAUUUCCUGUGUAGCGGUGAAAUGCGUAGAUAUAGGAAGGAACACCAGUGGCGAAGGCGACUACCUGGACUGAUACUGACACUGAGGUGCGAAAGCGUGGGGAGCAAACAGGAUUAGAAACCCGUGUAUCC